GGGGGUGUUACGGAUUCGACAGGCAUAGGUCGAGCUUUUGAUGCGCUCCGUAGGUUACGUCUACGUUAAAACGUUACAGUUAAAUAUAACUGACAAAACAAACAAUAAUACUUUAGCUUUCGCUGCUUAAUAACAGCUAGCUAAGAUCCUCUUGGCAUCGUCCAUGUGCUCAAGUAAGGGUCCCAUAAUCAGUGGACUACGCCGUGACUUUCCAUCUGGAGGAAUCGGAAGAGACUAAUCAGAUUAGCUUGUUGUGAUGCCGGUUAAAUGGCUAGCAUCUGGCGAAAACUAAAUAAUUUAACUAUGAGCGUAGAUUUGGAAGUGCCGAUAUGUUUGGACAGGGGUUCAACUCCCCUCACCUCCAUUA
rfam:Jeotgalibaca dankookensis strain EX-07, complete genome.